GGCAGGGAGACCGGGGGUGACAGGACCGCGGGGGGUCAAGGGGUCGAGAGGUUACCCUGGUCCUCGUGGGUUAGAUGGGACACACGGAGCUCCAGGCCCUCCUGGUAAGACAGGACCUGUUGGCAAUCCUGGCCCUCAAGGACCGAAGG